rnacentral:rRNA from 1 species
UACGAAGGGUGCAAGCGUUGUUCGGAUUUAUUGGGCGUAAAGCGCGCGUAGGCGGACCUGUAAGUCAGAUGUGAAAUCUCGGGGCUCAACCUCGAAACUGCGUCUGAAACUGCAGGUCUAGAAUCUUGGAGGGGGAAGGGGAAUUUCGCAUGUAGGGGUAAAAUCCGUAGAUAUGCGAAGGAACACCAGAGGCGAAGGCGCCUUCCUGGACAAGUAUUGACGCUGAGGCGCGAAAGCGUGGGGAUCAAACAGG